rnacentral:rRNA from 1 species
ACAGGUAGGUAACGUGCCCUGUGCUUCGGGAUAGCGUCUCGAAAGGGGCGAUAAUACCGGAUGCUGUCAUUGAGCGACAGUUCAAUGAUGAAAGGGUAACCGGCACAGGAGCGGCCUGCCUCCUAUCAGCUUGUUGGUGAGGUAAAAGCUCACCAAGGCAACGACGGGUAGCGGGACUGAGAGGUUGACCCGCCACAUCGGGACUGAGACACUGCCCGGACCCCCACGGGGGGCUGCAGUAACGAAUCUUCCACAAUGGGCGAAAGCCUGAUGGAGCGACGCCGCGUGCGGGAAGAAGUCCUUCGGGAUGUAAACCGCUGUCAGGGACAAGAAACUCCCGGUUCGCCGGGAUUGAUCUACCCCUGAGGAAGUCACGGCUAACUUCGUGCCAGCAGCCGCGGUAAGACGAAGGUGGCUAGCGUUGUUCGGUAUCACUGGGCUUAAAGGGUAUGUAGGCGGAAUGGAAAGCGUCGUGUGAAAGCCCUCGGCUUAACCGAGGAAUUGCUCGGCGAACUUCCAUUCUUGAGGCAAACAGGGGUGCGCGGAACUCUUGGUGGAGCGGUGGAAUGCGUAGAUAUCAAGAGGAACGCCGGUGGCGAAAGCGGCGCACUAGGUUUGCACUGACGCUGAAGUACGAAAGCGUGGGGAGCGAACGGGAUUAGAUACCCCGGUAGUCCACGCCGUAAACGAUGUGUACUAGGCUGUGGUAGUUCUGACACUUUCACGGCCGAAGCAAAAGCGUUAAGUACACCGCCUGGGGACUACGGUCGCAAGGCUAAAACUCAAAGGAAUUGACGGGGGCUCACACAAGCGGUGGAGCAUGUGGAUUAAUUCGAAGCAACGCGCAGAACCUUACCUGGGUUUGACAUGCAUGUAUGGCUUCCUGGAAACAGGAUAGUCUGCCCUUCGGGGUGAAACUUGCACAGGUGCUGCAUGGCUGUCGUCAGCUCGUGUCGUGAGAUGUUGGGUUAAGUCCGUCAACGAGCGAAACCCCUGCCGUUAGUGGCCAUCGGGUAAUGCCGGGGACUCUACCGGGACUGCCGGUGUCAAACCGGAGGAAGGUGGGGAUGAGGUCAAGUCAUCAUGGCCUUUAUGCCCAGGGCUUCACAUGCGCUUCAAGGGGGACACAAAGAGAAGCGAAACCUCGAGGUCGGGCAAAUCGCAGAAAG